CUCUGCCAGCAGUUAUUUUAGACUAAACGAUGUGGAGACUUUUAUUUUGAUACUCGAUGCACUGUAGCUACAGGAAGUAGGCAGAAAGCCAGAAGAAGAAAUAGUAGACAGCAUGGUUAAGAGCAGCACGGACGUUUAUUAUGCUUUUCCUGCGUAGUUGUUCCUAGGCAUUCUCUUUUCACAAUUUCCCAUAUAAAGAGUCAUCUUCA